CUUUGCUGACGAGUGGCGGACGGGUGAGUAAUGUCUGGGAAACUGCCUGAUGGAGGGGGAUAACUACUGGAAACGGUGGCUAAUACCGCAUAACGUCGCAAGACCAAAGAGGGGGACCUUCGGGCCUCUUGCCAUCAGAUGUGCCCAGAUGGGAUUAGCUUGUUGGUGAGGUAACGGCUCACCAAGGCGACGAUCCCUAGCUGGUCUGAGAGGAUGACCAGCCACACUGGAACUGAGACACGGUCCAGACUCCUACGGGAGGCAGCAGUGGGGAAUAUUGCACAAUGGGCGCAAGCCUGAUGCAGCCAUGCCGCGUGUAUGAAGAAGGCCUUCGGGUUGUAAAGUACUUUCAGCGGGGAGGAAGGUGUUGUGGUUAAUAACCGCAGCAAUUGACGUUACCCGCAGAAGAAGCACCGGCUAACUCCGUGCCAGCAGCCGCGGUAAUACGGAGGGUGCAAGCGUUAAUCGGAAUUACUGGGCGUAAAGCGCACGCAGGCGGUCUGUCAAGUCGGAUGUGAAAUCCCCGGGCUCAACCUGGGAACUGCAUUCGAAACUGGCAGGCUUGAGUCUUGUAGAGGGGGGUAGAAUUCCAGGUGUAGCGGUGAAAUGCGUAGAGAUCUGGAGGAAUACCGGUGGCGAAGGCGGCCCCCUGGACAAAGACUGACGCUCAGGUGCGAAAGCGUGGGGAGCAAACAGGAUUAGAUACCCUGGUAGUCCACGCCGUAAACGAUGUCUACUUGGAGGUUGUGCCCUUGAGGCGUGGCUUCCGGAGCUAACGCGUUAAGUAGACCGCCUGGGGAGUACGGCCGCAAGGUUAAAACUCAAAUGAAUUGACGGGGGCCCGCACAAGCGGUGGAGCAUGUGGUUUAAUUCGAUGCAACGCGAAGAACCUUACCUGGUCUUGACAUCCACAGAAGAAUCCAGAGAUGGAUUUGUGCCUUCGGGAACUGUGAGACAGGUGCUGCAUGGCUGUCGUCAGCUCGUGUUGUGAAAUGUUGGGUUAAGUCCCGCAACGAGCGCAAC
rnacentral:rRNA from 1 species